AAAGGCGCUUUCGGGUGUCGCUGAUGGAUGGACCCGCGGUGCAUUAGCUAGUUGGUGAGGUAACGGCUCACCAAGGCCACGAUGCAUAGCCGACCUGAGAGGGUGAUCGGCCACAUUGGGACUGAGACACGGCCCAAACUCCUACGGGAGGCAGCAGUAGGGAAUCUUCGGCAAUGGACGAAAGUCUGACCGAGCAACGCCGCGUGAGUGAAGAAGGUUUUCGGAUCGUAAAACUCUGUUGUUAGAGAAGAACAAGGAUGAGAGUAACUGUUCAUCCCUUGACGGUAUCUAACCAGAAAGCCACGGCUAACUACGUGCCAGCAGCCGCGGUAAUACGUAGGUGGCAAGCGUUGUCCGGAUUUAUUGGGCGUAAAGCGAGCGCAGGCGGUUUCUUAAGUCUGAUGUGAAAGCCCCCGGCUCAACCGGGGAGGGUCAUUGGAAACUGGGAGACUUGAGUGCAGAAGAGGAGAGUGGAAUUCCAUGUGUAGCGGUGAAAUGCGUAGAUAUAUGGAGGAACACCAGUGGCGAAGGCGGCUCUCUGGUCUGUAACUGACGCUGAGGCUCGAAAGCGUGGGGAGCAAACAGGAUUAGAUACCCUGGUAGUCCACGCCGUAAACGAUGAGUGCUAAGUGUUGGAGGGUUUCCGCCCUUCAGUGCUGCAGCUAACGCAUUAAGCACUCCGCCUGGGGAGUACGACCGCAAGGUUGAAACUCAAAGGAAUUGACGGGGGCCCGCACAAGCGGUGGAGCAUGUGGUUUAAUUCGAAGCAACGCGAAGAACCUUACCAGGUCUUGACAUCCUUUGACCACUCUAGAGAUAGAGCUUCCCCUUCGGGGGCAAAGUGACAGGUGGUGCAUGGUUGUCGUCAGCUCGUGUCGUGAGAUGUUGGGUUAAGUCCCGCAACGAGCGCAACCCUUAUUGUUAGUUGCCAUCAUUCAGUUGGGCACUCUAGCAAGACUGCCGGUGACAAACCGGAGGAAGGUGGGGAUGACGUCAAAUCAUCAUGCCCCUUAUGACCUGGGCUACACACGUGCUACAAUGGGAAGUACAACGAGUUGCGAAGUCGCGAGGCUAAGCUAAUCUCUUAAAGCUUCUCUCAGUUCGGAUUGCAGGCUGCAACUCGCCUGCAUGAAGCCGGAAUCGCUAGUAAUCGCGGAUCAGCACGCCGCGGUGAAUACGUUCCCGGGCCUUGUACACACCGCCCGUCACACCACGAGAGUUUGUAACACCCGAAGUCGGUGAGGUAACCUUUUUGGAGCCAGCCGCCUAAGGUGGGAUAGAUGAUUGGGGUGAAGUCGUAACAAGGUAGCCGUAUCGGAAGGUGCGGCUGGAUCACCUCCUUU
rnacentral:rRNA from 1 species